AAGACACAGUCCUUGCUGUCACGGAGCUCACCAUUGAGGGAUGCCCACAGGCAGCUGAAAUACAGCGGAAGUGAUAAAUCUUUAACAGAGGGUGUUUUACUCGGGGCACCCAGAAAAAAAUGAAAUUUUAACUGCAGAUUCAGGAAGUUAUCCAUGAAAAGGCGGCAGUUGAUUCCAAACUCCAACAAUGCGCUGUCAAGGCUCAUGGGCUGGCUGAGACCGUCACUUCAGGCAGAGGAUGUAGCGUUCUGAGGGGAAGAAAAAGUUUUAAAAAGAAACUUCCAGAGACACUGUCUUGAUGCAAGGAGUAAACAUAAAGUACAAAUCUGGAACACAGCGUCAGACUUAUUAGGAAAGUUACUCGGAUCAGGGCCUCUGAAAUCACCCAGACCCGAGCUCCGUAACUGCUCUGGUAUAGAGCUGGGCUCUGUGCUAUGGAGACAGUACUGACAUUUCAUCUUCCCGAGGCACGUCCCCUGGCUCCGUGAUGUGGCCGUACAACAAGCCUGCCCUUUGUUACGGUGUGUGCACACAUGUAAGUGCUCUCGACAAAUCUGUGUUCCUGCCUCUCCUCCAGUGCUUCUCAGGCAACGACGUUACCCUUGGCCUCAAGGAAAAAAAACAGACACCGUUGGUUGGAGAUUACUGAGUAAACCUACAACGUCCUCAUGCUUAAGGCCCCGUCUGUGAUUCCACCAUGAAGAGCCGUGGAGUCUAGGUCUAU
rnacentral:lncRNA from 10 species